rnacentral:rRNA from 1 species
UAGUCAUACGCUCGUCUCAAAGAUUAAGCCAUGCAUGUGUAAGUGUAAAUUGUUAAGUUUGGAACUGCGAAUGGCUCAUUAUAUCAGUUAUAGUUUAUUUGGUGAAGUGUACUACUUGGAUAACCGUAGCAAUUCUAGGGCUAAUACAUGAGAAAGUCCUCUGGUGAGGUGUGUUUAUUAGAAUGAAAACCAUAUGCUUCGGCAUGAUAGUGAGUAAUAGUAACCUAUCGUAUCGCAUGCUUAAUGUAGCGAUGA